UUAGAUACCCUGGUAGUCCACGCCGUAAACGAUGAUUACUAGGUGUGGGGGGACUGACCCCUUCCGUGCCGCAGCAAACGCAAUAAGUAAUCCACCUGGGGAGUACGACCGCAAGGUUGAAACUCAAAGGAAUUGACGGGGGCCCGCACAAGCAGUGGAGUAUGUGGAUUAAUUCGAAGCAACGCGAAGAACCUUACCAGGUCUUGACAUCGUAUGCAUAGCUCAGAGAUGAGUGAAAUCUCUUCGGAGACAUAUAGACAGGUGGUGCAUGGUUGUCGUCAGCUCGUGUCGUGAGAUGUUGGGUUAAGUCCCGCAACGAGCGCAACCCUUACUGUUAGUUGCUACGCAAGAGCACUCUAGCAGGACUGCCGUUGACAAAACGGAGGAAGGUGGGGAUGACGUCAAAUCAUCAUGCCCCUUAUGACCUGGGCCUCACACGUACUACAAUGGCUGUAAACAGAGGGAUGCAAAGCCGCGAGGUGGAGCGAACCCCUAAAAGCAGUCUUAGUUCGGAUUGUAGGCUGCAACCCGCCUACAUGAAGUCGGAAUUGCUAGUAAUCGCAGAUCAGCAUGCUGCGGUGAAUACGUUCCCGGGCCUUGUACACACCGCCCGUCACGCCAUGGGAGUCGGUAACACCCGAAGCCUGUAGUCUAACCGCAAGGAGGACGCAGUCGAAGGUGGGAUUGAUGACUGGGGUGAAGUCGUAACAAGGUAGCCGUAUCGGAAGGUGCGGCUG
rnacentral:rRNA from 1 species